rnacentral:misc_RNA from 1 species
AACGCAAAUUGCACUCCUUGGUAUUCCGAGGAGUAUGCUUGCUUGAGGGUCGAAUCAUAUUAUCGUUUUUAACGGAUCUGGGUUUUUCUAAGUUUUUUUUAAAUCUUGGUAACCUAAAAUUUAUCUUAAUAAUAUUUGUAAUAUUGAAAAUGUGUAUCUUACGUUCACGUGAGUUUAUUGACAAUCAUUAUGAAUUUAUUACGUCGUAUUAUUCGCUCGGUUUUUAACGAUCAGGUCGAAAUGAUACAAUUUUUCGAAAUUCGACCUCAAGUCAAGUAAGAAUACCCGCUGAACUUAA